GUGUGGGGGCCAUUCCACGGUUUCCGCGCCGCAGCUAACGCAUUAAGUGCCCCGCCUGGGGAGUACGGCCGCAAGGCUAAAACUCAAAGGAAUUGACGGGGGCCCGCACAAGCGGCGGAGCAUGCGGAUUAAUUCGAUGCAACGCGAAGAACCUUACCAAGGCUUGACAUGUUCCCGACCGCCACAGAGAUGUGGUUUCCCCUUUGGGGCGGGUUCACAGGUGGUGCAUGGUUGUCGUCAGCUCGUGUCGUGAGAUGUUGGGUUAAGUCCCGCAACGAGCGCAACCCUCGUUCCAUGUUGCCAGCGGGUUAUGCCGGGGACUCAUGGGAGACUGCCGGGGUCAACUCGGAGGAAGGUGGGGACGACGUCAAAUCAUCAUGCCCCUUAUGUCUUGGGCUUCACGCAUGCUACAAUGGCCGGUACAAUGGGUUGCGAUACUGUGAGGUGGAGCUAAUCCCAAAAAGCCGGUCUCAGUUCGGAUUGGGUCUGCAACUCGACCCCAUGAAGUCGGAGUCGCUAGUAAUCGCAGAUCAGCAACGCUGCGGUGAAUACGUUCCCGGGCCUUGUACACACCGCCCGUCAAGUCACGAAAGUCGGUAACACCCGAAGCCGGUGGCCCAACCCUUGUGGGGGGAGCCGUCGAAGGUGGGGCUG
rnacentral:rRNA from 1 species